rnacentral:rRNA from 1 species
CCUACGGGAGGCAGCAGUGAGGAAUAUUGGUCAAUGGGCUUACGCCUGAACCAGCCAAGUCGCGUGAGGGAAGACUGCCCUAUGGGUUGUAAACCUCUUUUGUCAGGGAGCAAUUGGCGCUACGUGUAGCGUUAUCGAGAGUACCUGAAGAAAAAGCAUCGGCUAACUCCGUGCCAGCAGCCGCGGUAAUACGGAGGAUGCGAGCGUUAUCCGGAUUUAUUGGGUUUAAAGGGUGCGCAGGCGGAGGCACAAGUCAGCGGUAAAAUCGCGGGGCUCAACCCCGCUCCGCCGUUGAAACUGUGUGCCUUGAGGGCGCGAAGGGUAGGCGGAAUGCGUGGUGUAGCGGUGAAAUGCAUAGAUAUCACGCAGAACUCCGAUCGCGAAGGCAGCCUACCGGCGCGCAACUGACGCUCAUGCACGAAAGCGUGGGUAUCGAACAGGAUUAGAUACCCUUGUAGUC